ACCUCUGCAAUAGGCGAAAGCCUGACAGGGUUACUCUGAGUGACUUUCGUUAAGAGAGUCUUUUGGCACCCCUAAAAAGGGUGUAGAAUAAGGGGUGGGCAAGUCUGGUGUCAGCCGCCGCGGUAAUACCAGCACCCCGAGUGGUCGGGACGAUUAUUGGGCCUAAAGCAUCCGUAGCCGGUUCUGCAAGUCCUCCGUUAAAUCCAACUGCUUAACAGAUGGGCCGCGGAGGAUACUACAGAGCUAGGAGGCAGGAGAGGCAAGCGGUACUCAGUGGGUAGGGGUAAAAUCCGUUGAUCCAUUGAAGACCACCAGUGGCGAAGGCGGCUUGCCAGAAUGCGCUCGACGGUGAGGGAUGAAAGCUGGGGGAGCAAACCGGAUUAGAUACCCGGGUAGUCCCAGCCGUAAACGAUGCAGACUCGGUGAUGGGUUGGCUUCGUGCUAACCCAGUGCCGCAGGGAAGCCGUUAAGUCUGCCGCCUGGGUAGUACGGUCGCAAGACUGAAACUUAA
rnacentral:rRNA from 1 species